rnacentral:lncRNA from 1 species
ACGUAUACAUAUGUAACUAACCUGCACAUUGUGCACAUGUACCCUAAAACUUAAAGUAUAAUAAUAAUUAAAAAAACCAAUAGUUUAUGAAACCCCCCCCAAAAAAAAUAUAUGCCAGUGGCCUCCAGUUGCCCACCAGGUAGCAUCCACAUUCUUUAAUGGAAAGCCCUUCCUUGCUUCGAACUUGCCAACUGGGAUUGGACAUUUGUAGUUGCAUUUCUAAGAACUGUUCCCUUUUGUCAAUGGAGCCUGAUUUCCACUUGGAUAUCUGGGUGAUUUAGGGAAACUGACCUCAAAACCCAAUUCUACAUUUCGACCAUGUGACCUUGGCUUAAUCAAUUCACGCAUCUUUUUCCCUCACCUCAGGGGAUGAUCAUAUGAACUAAGCCAGUUGCAAUAGAGUAAACCUCAUGUUCCUAAUGAGAAAUCCAGAACAAAAUGCUUUAUUUUUCUUCAAUUUUUUAUUAGGUCAUCUCCUGAAUCAAUUAAAAAAAAAACCAACAGUGACAACAAAACUAAAAAAUAUGAAGAAGCUGAAACAUGAAAGCUCUGCCAACUGCAAUAUGUAGCUGCUAAGGUUGCUGUAUUUAUUGGAAUCAAGCAAGUGUUCCAGUAAAGAGCACAGAAGAUGUGUCUGGGAGCCUUUAUGUAUAACACUAACAAAGUUGACCUUAGAAUUGGAGUGCCUGGGUUAGAACCCUGCUGGUACCACCUGCUUACUGCAUGCUUCUGAUGUGAGUUCAGGAGAAGACACUGGCAAGGACAGCAAAGAACAGGAGAACACUCUAGCUUCCCUGAUAGCAUUCAAGGUGCUGUCCAAAGCUCUUGAGUUUCUGCUUUCAAGUGACCCUCAGAAAUUCCUCCAUUCACUGCAGAGGUUCUGUUUCUCCUUGCUUUGUUCUGACUUUACGGCAGAACUAAGCUAAUGAGUUAGUUACUAUGGGUUAUCACUUGGAUUUGAAGAACCAUCAUUUCUAGGCAUUGCUGCUCAGAGUGACCUUGCCAUCGUAUCCCCUUUUGGAGACACAAGCCAGGAAGGAAGCUCUUCAGUGCAGCUGUGAAUAGAGAAAUGCUGGCUGAGGUUUUGGAGACACUGGGUGAUCAUUCCCAGUGAAAUUUUUAGAUCCCUGGGGACAUGAGCUGCUUUGUCUUUUCCAAGGCUGAAAAAGUUUUGGAAGCCCUCCUAAGCAGGUGCCAGACCCUUUUUUGGCCAGAGACAGGAUCUUACGCUGUUGCCCAGGCUGGAGUGCAAUAGUGUCAUCAUGGCUCACUGUAGCCUGGAACUGCUGGGCUCAAGGGAUCCUCCCAGCUCAGCCUCCCAAGUAGCUAGGAGUAAAGGUACAUGCCAUCAUGCCUAGCUUUUUUUUUUUUUAAUUUUUGGAGAGAUAAGUUCCCAUCAUGUUGCCCAGGCUGGUCUCUAACUCUUGGACUCAAGUGGUCCUCCCACAUCAGCCUCUCAAAGUGCUGAGAUUGCAGGUGUUAGCCACUGCACUUGGCCUGGCCCCAGUAUUCUUUGGGAUCUGGAGUUUGCUGUUGAAUGAGAAGGCAAGAUGAAAUUCCAUGUAGUCAGACUCCUACGCUGCUGUUCUAAGCAGGGUUGGGCCUGAUUAGUAGGUUAUAGAUGAUGUUUUUCUGUGGUGCUAUCUGGACCUAGUGCUCUUUGGCAUCUGGGAAGGUAUGGCCUUUAAAAAGCAAACUGCCAUGAGAACUGCUCUACCCCAAAUUUUGGUUCACAGCCUUCAUUUGAUUAUGUAUUGGGGCAAAAAUAGUUUAGCCAUGUGAACCUGUUUGUAAACUGGUGAGUUUCUAUUGCUAUUUCAUAGCUAAAGUUUUGAGGUAAAUGCUAUUGGAUCUUUGUGUCUGUGUGUGUAUACAUAUUUAGAUGUGUUUAUGUGUAUGUACAUUUAUUAUAUGUUGUGUCUACCAACUUUGCUUAUAAGCAAAAGAAUGCUUGUAAAUUAAGUAAAUAAGUUCAAGAAUUUUUUAAAUUCACUUGAUUAAGUAAAUUGUUAAUUUUAAAAACUAGCUUUAAAAUUAUUGGUAAGGUAAAAAUAGAAAUGUCUUUGGAAUUGCCAGCAUACCUUUUUGUCUGGGUUUUAUAUUUGUCUCUGCUAGAUAUUUUGGGGUGUCGGGGUUUAGCAUAAAAGGUUAUAAAACAAUAUACCCAGCCAAAACUAAAUAGUCUUUGUUUGUGUGACUUUUUUCAAUAAGUAAGACUAAUUCAAUGUUAGUUUAAUGAAAAUAGCUGAAUUUUCUGAAUUAUUGACACAAUACCCAUGUAUUUAACUUUAAAAGUGUUCUUACUUAGGUGAACAUCUGAUCUUCGCAGGCUAUAAAAAAGGUUAACAAGGAAAUAACUUGAAAUGAUGAUUAGCUUUGUCUAAUAUUUCAGUUUUCAGAAGUAAUCUAGAUAAAUCGUUUGAAAAAAUGAAAGAAUCAUGUACAUGUAAAUGGGAUAAAUGCUUGUAGCUGCACUUUUUAAUGUAAUUUGAAAUCUUGAAGUUAUUUAGGAUUGAAUAAUAGAUGCUUUUUGGCCAUCUGGGUCACUUCCAAUUAAGAAAGGAUUAUGGGGCCGGAUGUGGUGGCUCAGGCCUGUAAUCUCAGCACUUUGGGAGGCCAAGGCAGGCAGAUCACCUGAGAUCCGGAGUUCAAGACCAGCCUGGCCAACAUGGUGAAACCCCAUCUCUGCUAAAAAUACAAAAAUUAGCUGGGCACGGUGGCAGGCACCUGUAAUCCCAGUUUCUUGGAAGGCUGAGGCAGGAAAAUCACUUGAACCCAGGAGGCGGAGGUUGCAGUGAGCCAAGACCAUGCCAUUGCAUUCCAGCCUGAGUGACAAGAGCAAAACUCCGUCAAAAAAAAA